rnacentral:rRNA from 1 species
CCCUUAGACGUUCUGGGCCGCACGCGCGCUACACUGACCAGUGCAACAAGCAUCCGUCCUUGGCCGACAGGCUCGGGCAAUCUUUGAACGCUGGUCGUGAUGGGGAUAGACUUUUGCAAUUUUAGGUCUUCAACGAGGAAUUCCUAGUAAACGCAAGUCAUCAACUUGCAUUGAUUACGUCCCUGCCCUUUGUACACACCGCCCGUCGCACCUACCGAUUGAAUGGUCCGGUGAAGCCUCCGGAUUGGCGCGCACCUCGGUGCCGCCGAGAAGUUGGCUAAACCUUACCAUUUAGAGGAAGGUGAAGUCGUAACA